rnacentral:rRNA from 1 species
UUCCUACGGGGGGCAGCAGUAGGGAAUCUUCCACAAUGGACGGAAGUCUGAUGGAGCAACGCCGCGUGAGUGAAGAAGGGUUUCGGCUCGUAAAGCUCUGUUGGUAGUGAAGAAAGAUAGAGGUAGUAACUGGCCUUUAUUUGACGGUAAUUACUUAGAAAGUCACGGCUAACUACGUGCCAGCAGCCGCGGUAAUACGUAGGUGGCAAGCGUUGUUCGGAAUAACUGGGCGUAAAGGAUGCGUAGGCGGGUAAACAAGUUAUAUGUUAAAUAUAUAGGCUUAACCUGGAGAAAGCAUAUAAAAA